CAGUUGUGGAUCGGUUCUUGGUUGGGUUUGUUGUUGGAGUUGGUGGAGUUGUAGAAUAUUCAGAGCACGAUAAUUUGGACAAAAUUAGAUUUUCUUUUUCGCAAUGUAACUUAAAUAUACAUAUUUAUUGUGCACAUUAGAAUCAAAUAACAAAUAAUAAAGCCAUUUAUUAUUCCGAGCAAAAACUUCAAAACAAUAGAAAAAUCAAGUAUAUUAAAGCUUAACUAAGCAAAUAUAUUUGGUAAUAAUAAAAAAAAAAACUACAAACCAGUGUUAAAAAAUAUAGACCAUCUUAUCUCAAGAGGUCUCUCGUUAAAGAAAUAAAAUAUUAUAUUAUAUUAGACGAGAAAAUUGUGAAAUACAAAAAUAGUUAAUUUUGAGUUUUCUUUAACAUCUACAGUGCUAAAUAAAUGCGGGAUGUGUAAGGUUUUUUUUAUAUGGAAAAAACAUUGUGAUGUAUUUUUUUAACAGAUUUUCUUGCAGCAUCGAUGCCUCUUUUAUUGCCAUUUCAAGCCAUGCAGUCCAUUCGAUGGUGAGAAGUCAUAUGUAAAACCCAGGCGCACAGCUAAGCCGCUGCUUAGCUUCUCUUCUCUUCUGCUACUCAACGCAGAUUUCCUUUGAAGAAAGAAGAAGCAACAUCUAAUACAAUUCCUCAGACUUUUCGCUAAUGUGUAAGAACGUUUAACGAUGAUAAACGGCUUUUUUGUUUUAUUGUACAAUCAAUAAAAAAAGAAUAUUAAAGUA